rnacentral:rRNA from 1 species
GGGUCAGUAGGUUGGUCGUGCCACCGGUACGUACUGCUCUCACUGAUUCCUCCUUCCUGAAGAACCGGAAUGCCAUUAAUUUGGUGUUGCGGGGAAACAGGACUGGUACUUUGAAAAAAUUAGAGUGUUUAAAGCAAGCUAACGCUUGAAUACAUUAGCAUGGAAUAAUGAAAUAGGACGAUCGAUCCUAUUUUGUUGGUUUCUAGGAUUGACGUA